UACGGAGGGAGCUAGCGUUGUUCGGAAUUACUGGGCGUAAAGCGCGCGUAGGCGGCUUUGUAAGUUAGAGGUGAAAGCCCGGAGCUCAACUCCGGAACUGCCUUUAAAACUGCAUCGCUUGAAUCCAGGAGAGGUGAGUGGAAUUCCGAGUGUAGAGGUGAAAUUCGUAGAUAUUGGGAAGAACACCGGUGGCGAAGGCGGCUAUCUGGCCCGUAAUUGACGCUGAGGCGCGAAAGCGUGGGGAGCAAACAGG
rnacentral:rRNA from 1 species